rnacentral:rRNA from 1 species
AUGUCGUCGUCGCCGUCCUCCCUGUACAAGCAGCUGGGCCUGGGCGCCGCCGGCUCGCCGGUGAACGCGUCCCACCUCCUCAUGCUCGUCCUCGGCGCCGGCUUCCUCGCCUUCACCGUCUUCGUCGUCCACCCCAACGACUUCCGCCUCCAGUCCUUCUUCUCCGGCGCCUGCCCCGGCUCCCCGCCCCACGACGUCCUCUCGCCGGUCAACGCCACGCCCAAGGCCACCACGCCGGCCAAGCACGCCGACGCCACCACGCCGGUCAAGGCGCACCCCGGAGUGCGCGUGCUGAUCGGCAUCCAGACGAUGCCGGGCAAGUACGAACGGCGGCACCUGCUGCGGACGGUGUACGCGCUGCAGCUCCAGGAGCACCCCGCCCUGGCCGGCGCCGUGGACGUGCGCUUCGUCUUCUGCAACGUCACCUCCGCCGUCGACGCCGUGCUGGUGGCGCUGGAGAUCAUGCGCUACGGCGACGUCAUCGUGCUCGACUGCGCCGAGAACAUGGACGGCGGCAAGACGUACGACUUCUUCGCCGCCGCCGCCCGCGCCUUCCCCGACGGCGCCUACGACUACGUGAUGAAGGCCGACGACGACACGUACCUGCGGCUCCCGGCGCUGGCGGCGUGGGUGGCCGGCGCGGCGCGGGAGGACGCGUACCUGGGCCUGCAGAUGCCGUGCGACCGCGAAAACUUCUACCCGUUCCCGCCCUUCAUGUCCGGCAUGGGGUACGCGCUCUCGUGGGACCUGGUGCGCUGGGUGGCGCGGUCGGAGGUGAGCCGCCGGGACCGCGUCGGGCCGGAGGACAUGUGGACGGGGCGGUGGCUCAACGUCGCCGGCAAGGCCAAGAACCGCUACGACGGCGCCCCCAGGAUGUACAACUACCUGGGGAGCUCCCCGGCCAACUGCUUCCGGCGCGGCUUCCGCCCGGACACCAUCGCCGUGCACAUGCUCAAGGAUGCCGGCCGGUGGGCGGAGACGCUCGCCUACUUCAACGCCACCGCCGCGCUGCCGCCGUCCGCCCUCUACCACCUGCCUUGA